AUAAACAUUUUUAUGCUUUUUAAAAAGUUAGAAGCUUUUUAUUAAUUAUUUCUUU
rnacentral:tRNA from 1 species